GUUCAACCAGUACUGCUGCUAUUUCAGAGGCGAGUGAGAGCGACCUGGUGGUGUUGAGGCACGAAAUAACACCAAACUGGCCGGACGGAUCCACUGAAGUCAAGGGAAUCACACUGGUCGAAUACGGAAAUCCCAACGGAGGUACAGUGCCACAGAGGUACAGUGGGUGUUCCAGCGGCGAUGUGUACGAAGAUGGUGCUCUGAGGGGAUCCAAACGCGGGGCUGUGUAUUACCGCUCAAACGCGACAUGUACUGUACCACCAAACAGUGCUGGCUCGCGUGAGGCAGGAAGGCAUCCAGGCCAAUACCACAUCCACCUUUGUGUGAUUCCGUGUUUGGAGGUGUGUUUGUGAGCGUGUUUGGAGGAA